GAUGAACGCUGGCGGCGUGCUUAACACAUGCAAGUCGAACGAGAAGUGAAGACGGAACCCUUCGGGCGGAAGGCUUUAUUUCGAGUGGCGGACGGGUGAGUAACGCGUGGGUAACCUGCCUCAUACAGGGGGAUAACAGUUGGAAACGACUGUUAAUACCGCAUAAGACCACCGCACCGCAUGGUGCGGGGGUAAAAACUCCGGUGGUAUGAGAUGGACCCGCGUUCGAUUAGCCAGUUGGCGGGGUAAAGGCCCACCAAAGCGACGAUCGAUAGCCGAUCUGAGAGGAUGACCGGCCACAGUGGGACUGAGACACGGCCCAAACUCCUACGGGAGGCAGCAGUGGGGAAUAUUGCACAAUGGGGGAAACCCUGAUGCAGCGACGCCGCGCGAGUGAAGAAGUAUUUCGGUAUGUAAAGCUCUAUCAGCAGGGAAGAAAAUGACGGUACCUGAGUAAGAAGCCCCGGCUAACUACGUG
rnacentral:rRNA from 1 species